CCUCAUCCUUCAUUCUUAGAUUUUCAAACUGGGUAGUGAGGAUCUGCAAUCUAGACAUUUUUACCUUAGAAGUACCUUCAUGAACAGUUUCAAGAAUCUUCAGAGCUUCUGUUGCAGAGACAUAUUUUUUUAUGAGUUUAAAGAUGUGUUUGUCCACCUCAUUGUAUAAUGCAUACAAUGCUUUUGAGUUUGCUAGAGCAAGCUCAUCUUCUUCUUUAGACCAGUCCUCCUCAGGUUUCAAUGCAACUGUUGACUUU
rnacentral:lncRNA from 1 species